rnacentral:sRNA from 3 species
UGUAUCUGAAGCCUGACGAGGAUGAGAACCUCCGGGGGCAAGAGGUUCGACCCGAGCGAAGCGAGAGAACGUUGCGUCAGCAACGGCCCGCAGGGCGAGCCACGCA